AAGUCGNUAANCAAGGCUUCCGUAGGNUGAACCUGCGGAAGGAUCAUUACCGAGUUUUCGGGCUUCGGCUCGACUCUCCCACCCUUUGUGAACGUACCUCUGNUUGCUUUGGCGGCUCCGGCCGCCAAAGGACCUCCAAACUCCAGUCAGUAAACGCAGACGUCUGAUAAACAAGUUAAUAAACUAAAACUUUCAACAACGGAUCUCUUGGUUCUGGCAUCGAUGAAGAACGCAGCGAAAUGCGAUAAGUAAUGUGAAUUGCAGAAUUCAGUGAAUCAUCGAAUCUUUGAACGCACAUUGCGCCCCUUGGUAUUCCGGGGGGCAUGCCUGUUCGAGCGUCAUUACAACCCUCAAGCUCUGCUUGGAAUUGGGCACCGUCCUCACUGCGGACGCGCCUCAAAGACCUCGGCGGUGGCUGUUCAGCCCUCAAGCGUAGUAGAAUACACCUCGCUUUGGAGUGGUUGGCGUCGCCCGCCGGACGAACCUUCUGAACUUUUCUCAAGGUUGACCUCGGAUCAGGUAGGGAUACCCNNGCUGAACUUAAGCAUAUCAAUA
rnacentral:rRNA from 1 species